CCUGGGGCUUACCUGGUGG
rnacentral:miRNA from 1 species